GAUGAACGCUGGCGGCGUGCUUAACACAUGCAAGUCGAACGGAAAGGCCCAAGCUUGCUUGGGUACUCGAGUGGCGAACGGGUGAGUAACACGUGGGUGAUCUGUCCUGCACUUCGGGAUAAGCCUGGGAAACUGGGUCUAAUACCGGAUAGGACGAUGGUUUGGAUGCCAUUGUGGAAAGUUUUUUCGGUGUGGGAUGAGCUCGCGGCCUAUCAGCUUGUUGGUGGGGUAAUGGCCUACCAAGGCGUCGACGGGUAGCCGGCCUGAGAGGGUGUACGGCCACAUUGGGACUGAGAUACGGCCCAGACUCCUACGGGAGGCAGCAGUGGGGAAUAUUGCACAAUGGGCGCAAGCCUGGUGCAGCGACGCCGCGUGGGGGAUGACGGCCUUCGGGUUGUAAACUCCUUUCGCUAGGGACGAAGCGUUUUUGUGACGGUACCUGGAGAAGAAGCACCGGCUAACUACGUG
rnacentral:rRNA from 1 species